UGGCUCAGCUGGUAAAGAAUCUGCCUGCAAUGCAGGAGACCCGGGUUCAAUUCCUGG
rnacentral:tRNA from 1 species